CGCAGGUCAGCAUACUGCGGUGAAUACGUUCCCGGGUCUUGUACACACCGCCCGUCACACCAUGGGAGCCGGAAAUGCCCGAAGCCAGUGACCCAACCUUAGGGAGGGAGCUGUCGAAGGUGGAGCCGGUAACUGGGGUGAAGUCGUAACAAGGUAAC
rnacentral:rRNA from 1 species